GACGAACGCUGGCGGCGUGCUUAACACAUGCAAGUCGAACGGUAAAGCCCUUCGGGGUACACGAGUGGCGAACGGGUGAGUAACACGUGGGUGAUCUGCCCUGCACUUCGGGAUAAGCCUGGGAAACUGGGUCUAAUACCGGAUAGGACUCCUGGCUUCAUGGUUGGGGGUGGAAAGCUUUUGCGGUGUGGGAUGGGCCCGCGGCCUAUCAGCUUGUUGGUGGGGUAAUGGCCUACCAAGGCGACGACGGGUAGCCGGCCUGAGAGGGUGGCCGGUCACACUGGGACUGGGAUACGGCCCAGACUCCUACGGGAGGCAGCAGUGGGGAAUAUUGCACAAUGGGCGCAAGCCUGAUGCAGCGACGCCGCGUGAGGGAUGACGGCCUUCGGGUUGUAAACCUCUUUCAGCUAUGACGAAGCGCAAGUGACGGUAGUAGCAGAAGAAGGACCGGCCAACUACGUGCCAGCAGCCGCGGUAA
rnacentral:rRNA from 1 species